UACGUAGGGGGCGAGCGUUGUUCGGAAUUACUGGGCGUAAAGGGCUCGUAGGCGGCCAACUAAGUCAUACGUGAAAUCCCUCAGCUUAACUGGGGAACUGCGUGUGAUACUGGAUGGCUUGGAUUUGGGAGAGGGAUGCGGAAUUCCUGGUGUAGCGGUGGAAUGCGCAGAUAUCAGGAGGAACACCAAUGGCGAAGGCAGCACUCUGGUACGUGACUGACGCUGAGACGCGAAAGCGUGGGGAGCGAACAGG
rnacentral:rRNA from 1 species